UACGUAGGGGGCGAGCGUUGUCCGGAAUUAUUGGGCGUAAAGAGCUCGUAGGCGGUCUGUUGCGUCGGCUGUGAAAACCCGGGGCUCAACCCCGGGCCUGCAGCCGAUACGGGCAGACUAGAGUUCGGCAGGGGAGACUGGAAUUCCUGGUGUAGCGGUGAAAUGCGCAGAUAUCAGGAGGAACACCAAUGGCGAAGGCAGAUCUCUGGGCCGUAACUGACGCUGAGGAGCGAAAGCAUGGGGAGCGAACAGG
rnacentral:rRNA from 1 species